CGGAUGGCUCACUGGUUAGAACGAGAGCUCUUAGCAACAAGGUUACCGGUUCAAUUCCUGCACAGGAUAGUGGGCUGCGCCCCCUGCAACUAAGAUUGAAAAUGGCGACUGGACUUGGAGCUGAGCUGCGCCCUCCACAACUAGAUUGAAGGACAAUGACUGAUGGGUCCUGGAAAAACACACUGUUCCCCAAUAUUCCCCAAUAAAAAUUAAAAAACAACAAUGGGGUUUUCGUGGCAGAGACCCGACCAGACUAUGAAGGACGGUGCCUCAUUCUACCAUGGAUGAGAAGGUCAAGUUGGAUCAUCAUUUGCAACUAUAACAGGGAUGCAGAUUAGCAGUGCUCCAUGCCCAUGAGAAGUGAAAAAAAGGGGUGGGGCACAUGCCCCUGAAGGCAAAUGCUUCUCUUUGGAGGAUGACGCUGUCACGCAGCCUGAUGAGGAAAACCACUCUGGGGAGAGCCAUGAGACUCUGGGCAUGCUGAGGGCAAGACAAAUUGUUCUGCUGCAGAAAUCCACAGGAACUUGGAGUUUAGAUAGAAGGGUCUGGGGGAGGAGAGAGAGGCUGGAGAAGAUAGUAUAAGUUGGGACUUAGGGAAUAGUGAGAAAUUUUCUGAGGUGGGGAAUGGUUGAUGCAUUUGGAGGAGAGUUACGUCUGUGAGUAGAUUCUAGUGCCCUUGCUGUGAUUUCCCCCUCUACGACCCCAAACUUUGAGUAAAAUCUGCUGCUGUGCUUGUGAGUCUUGUGUGAGUUGGAAGGGGGAUGCCGAAAUGUAGAGGGAAGAGGCCGCAGCUGCAGGAGGCCAGAGGCAAAUGGAAGGGAGGAGGUGG
rnacentral:lncRNA from 1 species